CCUACGGGUGGCAGCAGUGAGGAAUAUUGGUCAAUGGACGCAAGUCUGAACCAGCCAUGUCGCGUGCAGGAAGACUGCUCUAUGAGUUGUAAACUUCUUUUGUAAAAGAGUAAACUCAGAUACGUGUGUCUGUCUGAAAGUACUUUACGAAUAAGGAUCGGCUAACUCCGUGCCAGCAGCCGCGGUAAUACGGAGGAUUCAAGCGUUAUCCGGAUUUAUUGGGUUUAAAGGGUGCGUAGAUGGUCUGUUAAGUUAGUGGUGAAAGCUCGAGGCUCAACUUCGAAAUUGCAAUUGAUACUGUUCGGCUAGAGAGUAGUUGCGGUAGGCGGAAUGUAUGGUGUAGCGGUGAAAUGCUUAGAGAUCAUACAGAACACCGAUUGCGAAGGCAGCUUACCAAGCUACUUCUGACGUUGAGGCACGAAAGUGUGGGGAGCAAACAGGAUUAGAUACCCUUGUAGUC
rnacentral:rRNA from 1 species